rnacentral:rRNA from 1 species
GAUGAACGCUGGCGGCGUGCCUAACACAUGCAAGUCGAGCGGCAGCGAGGGGUGCUUGCACCCUGUCGGCGAGCGGCGGACGGCUGAGUAACGCGUGGGAACGUGCCCCAAAGUGAGGAAUAACUGCCCGAAAGGGUGGCUAAUACCGCAUAUUAUCUUCGGAUCAAAGGAUUUAUCCGCUUUGGGAGCGGCUCGCGUCGGAUUAGGUAGUUGGUGAGGUAAUGGCUCACCAAGCCGACGAUCCGUAGCUGGUCUGAGAGGAUGACCAGCCAGACUGGAACUGAGACACGGUCCAGACUCCUACGGGAGGCAGCAGUGAGGAAUCUUCCACAAUGGGCGAAAGCCUGAUGGAGCAACGCCGCGUGCAGGACAAAGGCCUUCGGGUUGUAAACUGCUUUUAUAAGUGAGGAAUAUGACGGUAACUUAUGAAUAAGGAUCGGCUAACUACGUG